UGUAUUGUGGCUACGAUGUGCUCCGUUGCUUUCUAUAGUUUCUAAUUACUACGUUAUUUUAUGUCGAUCUUUUAACGGAUGUCAACGUGACGAACGACGCUGCGAAACGGAACCGUGAGAUGUAUGGUGCCCACGGCCUUCAGACGUAAAGAAGAGUAUGGGAACAAGCCGUGCCAGGGCAAGCCAAGUCAUCUGCAAAGAUGUUAAUAACAAUCAAGUAUGGGAUUGACAGUCGCGGACACGUAGUACAGCGCGCCGGCCACAUUAAACAGAUGCUCAUUGAUGACCUGGAACUGCAUGAGGUGCUCGCCGUAGAUGAAGAACAGGCGCUGGAUGUGGAACGGAG